rnacentral:rRNA from 1 species
CUGGCUCAGGAUGAACGCUAGCGAUAGGCCUAACACAUGCAAGUCGAGGGGCAGCACAUGAAGUAGCAAUACGGAUGGUGGCGACCGGCGCACGGGUGAGUAACGCGUAUGCAACCUGCCUACAACAGGGGAAUAACCCGUUGAAAGACGGACUAAUACCCCAUAACACAGGGAUCCCGCAUGGGAAUAUUUGUUAAAGAUUUAUCGGUUGUAGAUGGGCAUGCGUUCCAUUAGCUUGUUGGUGAGGUAACGGCUCACCAAGGCAACGAUGGAUAGGGGAACUGAGAGGUUUAUCCCCCACACUGGUACUGAGACACGGACCAGACUCCUACGGGAGGCAGCAGUGAGGAAUAUUGGUCAAUGGACGCAAGUCUGAACCUGCCACGUCGCGUGAAGGAAGACGGCCCUACGGGUUGUAAACUUCUUUUGUAAGGGAAUAAAGUGUAGUACGUGUACUAUUUUGCAUGUACCUUACGAAUAAGGAUCGGCUAACUCCGUGCCAGCAGCGGC